UGGGGAAUAUUGCGCAAUGGCCGCAAGGCUGACGCAGCGACGCCGCGUGUGGGAGGACGCCUUUCGGGGUGUAAACCACUGUUGCCCGGGACGAACACUUCCUUUUGGGGAAGCUGACGGUACCGGGUGAGGAAGCACCGGCUAACUCCGUGCCAGCAGCCGCGGUAAUACGGAGGGUGCGAGCGUUGUCCGGAAUCAUUGGGCGUAAAGGGCGCGUAGGUGGCCCGCUCAGCGUGCGGUGAAAGCUCGGGGCUCAACCCCGAGUCGGCCGUGCGAACUACUGGGCUGGAGCACUGUAGAGGCAGGCGGAAUUCCGGGUGUAGCGGUGGAAUGCGUAGAGAUCCGGAAGAACACCGGUGGCGAAGGCGGCCUGCUGGGCAGUUGCUGACACUGAGGCGCGACAGCGUGGGGAGCAAACA
rnacentral:rRNA from 1 species